GAUGAACGCUGGCGGCGCGCUUAACACAUGCAAGUCGAACGAACCUUCGGGUUAGUGGCGGACGGGUGAGUAACGCGUGGGAAUCUGCCCUCAGGAGGGGGAGUAACGGCUGGAAACGGCCGCUAAUACCCCAUAUGCCGAGAGGUGAAAUGAAUUUCGCCUGAGGAUGAGCCCGCGUCUGAUUAGCUAGUUGGUGAGGUAAGAGCUCACCAAGGCAUCGAUCAGUAGCUGGUCUGAGAGGAUGAUCAGCCACACUGGGACUGAGACACGGCCCAGGCUCCUACGGGAGGCA
rnacentral:rRNA from 1 species